rnacentral:lncRNA from 1 species
GGACAGGGGACUCUAAUGAUCCUCAUACUCAAACGCAAGCAGCAAGUUCUGCAGGUAAAAAACGAAAGUCUAUCAAGGAGAGGUCAGAAGUAUGGGAUCACUUCACAAAGUUUACGGAUGCAGAAGGGUGCAUGAGAGCAAGGUGCAACUAUUGUGAAAAGGUAUACCAUUCUGAUACUACUACAAAUGGCACUAGUGCACUCAAUAAACAUCUUAAAGUUUGCAAGAAACUCAUGCUUAGUGGUGAAUCUAAACAAACACAAUUGUCAUUACAAUCCGUAGGAGGAAACGAGGGCAUUCUUAAAAAAUGGCAUUUUGAUCAAAAAUUAUCUAGACAUAAAUUAGCCGCCAUGGUCAUUAUUGAUGAACUUCCGUUUAGAUUUGUCGAGGGUGAGGGGUUUAAUGAUUUUAUGAAAACCACUCAACCACUUUUUAAGAUGCCAUCUCGUUUUACCGUGGCAAGAGAUUGUUAUCAAAUCUUUUUGGAUGAAAAGAAGAAGUUGACUACAUACUUUAAGCUCUCGGGUCAAAGAGUUUGUAUUACCAUGGACACUUGGACUUCUAUCCAAAAGAUUAAUUAUAUGUGCAUUACGGCUCAUUACAUUGAUCAAAAUUGGAACUUGCACAAAAAGAUAAUUAACUUUUGUCCUAUAGAGGGUCAUAAGGGUGAACUCUUAGCUAGGGACCUUGACAUAAAAUUGAAAGAAUGGGAAAUUGCCAAAGUGUUUGCAAUUACGGUUGAUAAUGCAAGUUCAAAUUAUACUUGCAUUCAAUUGUUGAAGGAUAGAUUGUCUUCUAGGGGGCUGAUUUUUUAAAUGGAAAGUAUAUGCACAUGAGAUGUAUUGCUCACAUAAUUAAUUUGAUUGUGAAUGAUGGACUCCUUGAUAUGAAAGCAUCGAUUAAAAGGGUGAGAAAGGCGGUUAGAUUUGUGAAUCAAUCUCCGGCUAGACUAGCCAAAUUUAGGGAGUGUGUUGACUUACAAAAUAUUACUUGCAAAUCUAUGUUGUGUUUGGAUGUAAGUACAAGAUGGAAUUCCACUUAUUUGAUGCUUAAUGUUGCUCAAAAGCUUCAAAAGGCAUUUGAAUUAUUUGAGAGAAUGGAUCCAUACUUUGUACAUCAGCUUAAUGAUCAAGGGGGGGGUGCCUACAUCUUGGGAUUAGGGUAAUGUUAGAAGGUUGGUUGACAUGUUGGUUCAUUUUUAUGAACUUACCUUAAGGAUAUCGGGUUCUUUGUAUGUCACAUCCAAUGUAUUCUUUAAUGAGAUUAGCACGGUUAAUUUAUUGUUGAAAGAUUGGAUGAAGAGUGAUGAUAUUGAUAUGAGAUAUAUGGGUGAAAGAAUGAAGGAAAAAUAUGACAAGUAUUGGGGUGAUGUAAACAAAAUGAACAAACUCAUUUAUGUGGCGGUUGUCGUUGAUCCUAGAUACAAAUUGGAGUUUCUUGAUUUUGCACUUGUUGAAGAAUUUGGUAAUGAAAUUGGUUGGAAGUUGGCAAAUGACACAAAAAUGGUGAUGAAAGAGUUGUUUGACGAGUAUAAAAAGACUUGCCAACCUAAAAAUACUCAAGACAAUAAUCAAGGUAAAUCUUCAAAUAAGUCUUCAAGUACUUCAACUUCAAGAACACAAUCGGUAUUAGGUGAAAGAUUUAUGAGACAAAAAAUGGAGAGUGGGGAAAUAGAAUCCAAGUGUGAGUUAGAUAUUUAUCUUAAAGAGAGUGUUUAUGUCACGAAAAGUGAUGAUGAGUUUGAUAUUUUGAAAUGGUGGAAGGUUAAUUCAAGUAGGUUUCCAAUUCUCUCACAACUUGCACGUGAUGUGUUAGCAAUUCCAAUCUCCACCGUAGCAUCGGAGUCCGCUUUUAGUGCGGGUGGGAGAGUUCUUGAUCCUUAUAGGAAGUUCUUUGUCACCCAAAGUUGUGGAAGGUUUACUUUGUGCUCAAGAUUGGUUAAGAUCCUACAAACGUCCAAAGACAAUUGAAGAAGACUUCAAUGAUAUUGAAAAAUUCGAAGAAGGUAUAUCGUUUCUACAUUUUACAUUUAAACUAUUUAAUUCUUCAUAAACUAAUUUUUUUAUGUUUGCUUUUUCUACAGUAUUUUCUGCCCUUACAGUCGACAUAAAUGUUGAAGGUGCAACUAUAAACUUGGACAACGACAGCUAGGUAAUAUUCUUACUGAAACAGGAGUUCUACCUGCCUUCUGUUAGCCUAAGUUGGCACUCUGAUUUUUUGA